AUUCGCCGAUUAGAAAGAAAGCGGUAUUAAGGCGAAGAAAUUACGAUCGCAGAGCGAUAAAACAGGCCGCGCAAUGAGAACGAAUAUUCGCUCUGAUUAAGGAAGGAAAUUACGAUCGCGGGAAGAUAAAAUGGGUUGAGAUGAGAACGAAUGCGACUUGGAAUGGGAGGAAAUUGUUCUUUAGCUCUUUGAGAUACAAAGCUCGACGCGGGUCUGAUAUGAAAACUACCGAUAGCCUUGUUCAUCCGGCAGAAAAAUUGCGUUCGAUCAUUUACUUUCAAUAUACUAUCGAUCAAAUUAACACGGAAUAACAAGAUUGUUUCCCCUACUCUCUUUUAAAUAUACUUCACAGAUAAAGCCGUUUCAUAGAUAAUUACGAAAGCAGAUUUAAACGAAGAAUAUUAUUGCCAUUGUCGAAAUGGCCGUGAGCGUAACGUAACACGGUUUUCUCGUUCACAUUCAACAACUUUUCCAUCGGAAUAAUCUUAUCUCGGAUCUACAUAAAUUUCCUCAGGUAUAGUUAAGUCUCGUCCGUUGAAAAGAAAGUUUUCAUGGGAAAUCACUGGAAGUUUUAAAGUCUGUCACGACUGUACUGGUUCUUCGGCGAAGGUUUACUAGCCACUUUUCUAAUUACACAGCCAGCCCUCAAUGACCACAGAUGUCUUCAAGUUUAUGGGGUCAUGUCGAAAGGAGGACUCGAUGGAAUUCAUCGGCUCUCAUUGGAAUGUGGUAAAGGCCGGAAUGAAGGUCGAAUAAGUCUCUCAACCGGUUGUCGCAAUCUCCAGCUGGUCAUGUUUCCAGUCUAAUGGAGUUAUCGGUUUGUUAUGCAAACGAGCAGGGGUUUUGUAUAGUCGGCUCGUAUUGGGAGCUCCCUUGCGAAUCAGUCUGAAAACACUUGCUCGAACAGAACGAACUGUCAAGCGAAGCACGUAUGUCCCCUAAUUACACGCACGGGACGCGUGCAUACGCCAUUUCGAACAAGUCCGAGGCUCUGGUACAUCGGUUCGUUACGCACCGGAUCGAGCUACAAUUUACGUAGUCGUUUACCAUGUCCCAGCACGCAUGUACGCGUUAAUCGUGACUUAUUCCAAUUCUUCAAUUGUCCUCGUGUCAACGCUGCAAAUCUGUUUCGUUUCGAUCUAUUCUUUUAUCGCCAUUCCAUCGAAAAAGAGAAAUCAAAAAUCAAAUUCGAUGCUAAAAUAUAAUACGUAGAAGUUACUUGCGGAAUUAAGAUUUAUUUUCAACGAUCGUAUUAAGUUUCCAAUUAAAUCUAUAUACAUUUUCCAACGGUUAUGUAAAUUCAUUCUUCCGAAUUUGUAAACAUCGUUAUCCCUAGUUCUUGUUCGGUGUGCUUCUUUAGCGAUUCUGUAGUCUUCUCGUUAGAUUUCAAUUUUGAAAGUCAAUAUUAAUUUGUACUAAUAUUUGCGUGGGAUAUAAAUUCCUAAUUUAUUAUAA